GUUGUGCGGGAUACUAUUGGAAACGAUUGCUAAUACCGCAUAACGCCUACUGGCCAAAGAGGGGGAUCUUCGGACCUCUCGCGUCAAGAUAUGCCUAGGUGGGAUUAGCUAGUUGGUGAGGUAAUGGCUCACCAAGGCAACGAUCCCUAGCUGGUCUGAGAGGAUGAUCAGCUCAUACUGGAACUGAGACACGGUCCAGACUCAUACGGGAGGCAGCAGUGGGGAAUAUUGCACAAUGGGCGCAAGCCUGAUGCAGCCAUGCCGCGUGUAUGAAGAAGGCCUUCGGGUUGUAAAGUACUUUCAGUCGUGAGGAAGGUUCAUACGUUAAUAGCGUAUGGAUUUGACGUUAGCGACAGAAGAAGCACCGGCUAACUCCGUGCCAGCAGCCGCGGUAAUACGGAGGGUGCGAGCGUUAAUCGGAAUUACUGGGCGUAAAGCGCAUGCAGGUGGUUCGUUAAGUCAGAUGUGAAAGCCCGGGGCUCAACCUCGGAACUGCAUUUGAAACUGGCGGACUAGAGUACUGUAGAGGGGGGUAGAAUUUCAGGUGUAGCGGUGAAAUGCGUAGAGAUCUGAA
rnacentral:rRNA from 1 species